GGUGUAUCAAAUCAUUGACUGAAAUUCCAUCAUUUACAGAUUCCUUAUUAUCACAGACAGGACAGUAUGCCCCCGCAACACAUGAGGAGAAGUCCACUAAUUUGUAUGGUUGUAAAUUUGAUGAUGUUGAUGGUGGAGUAUCUGACCAAAUUAUUGACGAAAAUUCCACCGGUUAUACCGACAAAUCCUGAACUUUUACAGACAUGGAAAUAUGCUUCUGCAGCAAAAUUCUCCAUUGUACCACAAAACUGUUAAUCCAGGAGUUUAGAUCCAAGAAAUUCUGGUUGAAGUUGACGACGAACUUGACAGUAUGAAGAUCAAAUUAUAGUGCGAGGAGACGAUUGGAUGUAGAGUUCUUCCCAAUUCACAGGACCCACACCAAGGCAAAUAAUGCCAGUCUGCUGGACUCAUUCUUAAUAAAGUCCCGAUCAUUCGACAAAAUUCACUGAUGAGCAGUGUGGGUCA